UCAGCCGCCUCUUCACCACGUGGCGCAUCUCCCUAGGUUGCGCCGCCUUCUUGGCUUUGCGCAGGCGCUCUCGUGGGGAGCGCGUCCGCCGCCUGGCGUGGUUCAGUCGCCGCCGCCUGGGGGCGGUACAGAUGCAACCGCUGCUCUUGGGCCGGUCCAGCAACCCACGGAGGUCGGCCCGCGUUAGAUCAAUGCUAUGUUUUAACAAGAAUGAAAAGAAUACUGAUUGCUACUGGUUUUGAAUGAUACCUAGCUUCAAGCAAAGGCUAAAGAUGAGAAAAGAUAAAGAAAAUUAUCCUCAGAAAAUUGAGGCAAAAAGAGUGUCUGGUAUCAGUGAAAGAAAAUCUGAUGGCAUGAACAUCUUAGACGAGGACAUCUAAACCAAGACAAAGAAAUACUGUGUGCUCCCUGAGGGAGAGACUGUUUCUAACUCAUCACGGAUCUCCAGGGUUUGGCACAGAGGAAGAACUCAAUACAUGUUUGUUGAAUAAAUGCAUUUUUUUUUAAAUAGAAGGAUUUCUUACUUGUCUGAAAAGAUUGGAAUUAUGUAUUAACCAUGCUUGCCUUUUGGAGACAAAUAUUUAAGCCAAUGUUCAUUUGAUUCGGUCAUUGUACAAGGCCAGCCUAUCCAACAGAGACAGAGCUUUCAAUCUGACAUAGUUGAGUUGUAUGUUCUUAUCAUUUUAAAGGGAAUUAAAUGUCAGUUAUGUCUAAACUAUCUGGAUGUGUUGAUUGGACAUGGAAAACUUUUACAAAGAUCAGAUAUUCACACAUAUCCUUAUGUUACUUUGCCAAUAUAGAAUCAAAUAUCUGUUGCAAUGUUUUUUUAUUUAUAUCUACUGUCCAU